GAUGAACGCUGGCGGCGUGCUUAACACAUGCAAGUCGAACGGGAAACCUUUUACUGAAGCUUCGGCAGAUUUAGCUGGUUUCUAGUGGCGGACGGGUGAGUAACGCGUGGGUAACCUGCCUUAUACAGGGGGAUAACAACCAGAAAUGGUUGCUAAUACCGCAUAAGCGCACAGGACCGCAUGGUCCGGUGGGAAAAACUCCGGUGGUAUAAGAUGGACCCGCGUUGGAUUAGCUAGUUGGCAGGGUAACGGCCUACCAAGGCGACGAUCCAUAGCCGGCCUGAGAGGGUGAACGGCCACAUUGGGACUGAGACACGGCCCAGACUCCUACGGGAGGCAGCAGUGGGGAAUAUUGCACAAUGGGGGAAACCCUGAUGCAGCGACGCCGCGUGAAGGAAGAAGUAUCUCGGUAUGUAAACUUCUAUCAGCAGGGAAGAUAGUGACGGUACCUGACGAAGAAGCCCCGGCUAACUACGUG
rnacentral:rRNA from 1 species